GAAGGACCUUUUUCGUCAUCAUUACUUAAACAUUUGGUUCCAUCCGAAGUAGGGUAUGUUCUUUGGGAAGUUCACAAAGAUAUUCGUGACAAUUAUUUGGCCCGAAGUUGUUGACCUACAAAGCACUUUGGCAGCGAUAUUCUUGAAAGAACUGAGGAUUCAGCACAGAAAGACUUCGGGUAUUCUACUUUGGACCCAUCUCCCACUAUUGAGGAAUUUCGGGCGCCGUCCGAAGCUGCAAAUGUUGCUUGGAGGGUUCAUGUGGAUAUUUGUCAGCCAAAUGGUUCGAUCCCACAUCAGCCACCAAAAGACUAUAUUUUGAUUUUAUCUCCUAUACCUCUUGCUGUCUGGGGGGUAGUCGUACUGGGUCCAUUGCCUAGGGAUCAGGUUAACAAACGCCGGCUCAUGGGAUCGAAGUUUAAAACAUUCAUAUGGAACUUCCGUAGCUCAUCCAUAUUCUGACAGGCACAACAAAUGCUACCUCGGAGUUAGGAGGUUCGGGAGGACUCGCUGACCAUUCGAUGGUAGCCUCUUCGGCAGGUGGUCACUUUGGCAUUGUCAGGCCCUUCGGGGUAGGCAAUUGUCGUCACUUUGACAUUGUCAGGCCCUUCGGGUUAGGCAAUUGUCGCCACUAUUUGGCAUUGUCAGGCCCUUCGAGGUAGGCAAUUGUCGCCACUUUGGCAUUGUCAGGCCCUUCGUGGUAGGCGAAUGUCAUCUUUUGGUUUUGAUAGGAGGUUCGGGAGGACUCGCUGACCAUUCGAUGGUAGCCUCUUCGGCAGGUGGUCACUUUGGCAUUGUCAGGCCCUUCGGGGUAGGCAAUUGUCGUCACUUUGGCAUUGUCAGGCCCUUCGGGGUAGGCAAUUGUCGCCACUUAGACUUCGUCAGGCCCUUCGUGGUAGGCGAAUGUCAUCUUUUGGUUUUGAUAGGAGGUUCGGGAGGACUCGCUGACCAUUCGAUGGUAGCCUCUUCGGCAGGUGAUCCUUUUGACUUCGUCAGGCCUUUCGUGGUAGGCGAAUGUCAUCUUUU
rnacentral:lncRNA from 1 species